CGGGCAGUGCCUUGGGGCAGGGGCUGCUUCUUGCACUGCGGCCUGCCAGGGACAGCAGAGCUGGGCGUGAAUCAAUGAACCCUGCAGCUCUGCAGCUGAAUCCAUCCCCUGCAGGCUCUGGAGCUGCUCUGUGCCCAUGGGAGCUGAAUCCAUCCCCUGCAGGCUCUGGAGCUGCUCUGUGCCCAUGGGAGGUGUUUGCUGGGCUCCUGAGGCUGGCACACCUGGAGGGCACUGCAGGGACCCACAGGGGCUGUUCUGACCCUGACUCUGCAGGCCAGGCCUACCCUGAGGACACAGGAAGGAAACCCUGACAGGAGCCUCAAGCAGGGCAUGGGUUUUCAGUGCUGGGAGUUAUUUUGGGGUGAGAAACAGGGAUGAAUUAAAUUACAAAUCAGCACAGCUUAAAUUUUAUAAUUGACCUGUUACGGACAGUGUAUCACGGGUUCCAGACUUGCAAUCAGGAAUAUCCAGGACUGAGGAGUGAAUCCUAAAUCCCAAUCAGGCAGCUGCUCAGACUGGUGCACAGCUAACACUUGCUGGGAUGGCAGCUGUUUGGCUGCAGCAAUGUUUUUAAUUUGCAUUAGAUGUGUUAGGGCAGCAGCCACCUCUGGCCAGGCCCUGCUCAGCCUGACCCUGCUCCUCCCCAGGACUGUUCCAGGUAUCUGCAGGAAGCAAAGCAAGCUGGAACUGUGAGCAGAUCAAUGCACAGCAACCUCUUAGCAGCCUUCAGCCAGGUCCCUCAGCCUUGUCUCACUUUAGUUAACGUGCUCCAGGGUUUGGAUCUUUCAGCAGCACAUUCCUCCAGCAGAGCAAUGGCUUCAUGUUCAGCCUCUUGAAUUUUAAUGAUUCUAACAACUGUACUUCAGAGUGCGUGCACACUGCUAUGGAAGGUGCAAGGAAUUAUGCAGAAAGAAAAUAAAACCUUUUUAUUAAUGCA
rnacentral:lncRNA from 1 species